rnacentral:sRNA from 1 species
GCUGGGUGCCGUGGUGCACGCCUAUAAUCCCAGGGGCUUGGGAGGCUGAGACAGGAGGAUUGAAGGUUCAAAGCCAGCCUCAGCAACAGUGAGGCGUUAAGCAACUCAGUGAGACCCUGUCUCUA